rnacentral:rRNA from 1 species
CCUACGGGAGGCAGCAGUGAGGAAUAUUGGUCAAUGGACGAGAGUCUGAACCAGCCAAGUAGCGUGAAGGAUGACUGCCCUAUGGGUUGUAAACUUCUUUUAUAUGGGAAUAAAAUGUUCCACGUGUGGGAUUUUGUAUGUACCAUAUGAAUAAGGAUCGGCUAACUCCGUGCCAGCAGCCGUGGUAAUACGGAGGAUCCGAGCGUUAUCCGGAUUGAUUGGGUUUAACGGGAGCGUAGGUGGAUUGUUAAGUCAGUUGUGAAAGUUUGCGGCUCAACCGUAAAAUUGCAGUUGAAACUGGCAGUCUUGAGUACAGUAGAGGUGGGCGGAAUUCGUGGUGUAGCGGUGAAAUGCUUAGAUAUCACGAAGAACUCCGAUUGCGAAGGCAGCUCACUGGACUGCAACUGACACUGAGGCUCGAAAGUGUGGGUAUCAAACAGGAUUAGAUACCCCGGUAGUC